UACGUAGGGGGCGAGCGUUGUCCGGAUUUAUUGGGCGUAAAGCGCGCGCAGGCGGUUCGGCAAGUCGGAUGUGAAAAUCCGGGGCUCAACCCCGGACGUGCAUCCGAUACUCCCGGACUGGAGGCAGGUAGGGGAGAGCGGAAUUCCCGGUGUAGCGGUGAAAUGCGCAGAUAUCAGGAAGAACACCCGUGGCGAAGGCGGCUUUCUGGGACGGUACUGACGCUGAGACGCGAAAGCGUGGGGAGCGAACAGG
rnacentral:rRNA from 1 species